UACAGAGGUCUCAAGCGUUGUUCGGAUUCAUUGGGCGUAAAGGGCGCGUAGGCGGCGAGGUAAGUCUGGUGUGAAAUCUAGGAGCUCAACUCCUAAACUGCACUGGAUACUGCUUUGCUUGAGGACUGGAGAGGAGAAUGGAAUUCCCGGUGUAGCGGUGAAAUGCGCAGAUAUCGGGAGGAACACCGGUGGCGAAGGCGGUUCUCUGGGCCUUACCUGACACUGAGGAGCGAAAGCGUGGGGAGCGAACAGG
rnacentral:rRNA from 1 species